ACCCAGGAUCACUUCCGAAACCACUUGGCCUUCAGCCCCUGCCUCGGCCAGAGGUUUCAUUUUUAACUGAAUAUUUACGAAAGCUGAAAGCGUGCGAGGGGGGUGGGGUGGAAAUAGCGGCUGCUUCUUUUCCAAGGAUUUAUUUAAUGGGGAUGUGUUCAAGGCAAGACCGAAUUCAGAAGGAUAUCGACGUCGUGAUCCAGAAGUCCAGAGCUGAGGACUGCCUGUUUGCAGGGCCCGCCUGGCAGGACGACUGAGCAAGUUCUUGGAAAACCAGAGAUAUUAGAGCGGUGAAUCGCGCUGGUCACGUUGGACACCUGCGCGUUAGGAGAUUCUGGAGCCAGAGGGAGAGACCCCAGAAACGCCCCGGUCGGCGACCCAGCCCGAGACGCCUGGGGUCCCAAGGGAAGCUGAACGCCCGGUGGGCUCCCGGGAUGGUUCUUCCGGUUCUUUGUGCCGCCUUCACCCAGUGAAGGAGCCUGUAUCCACCCUGCCCAGUCGCUGUUGGGCUGCUGCGGAGCUUCCGCUGCCAUCUUCGGAUCCUGUGUUCCGCCCGGGGCUCCACCAGGGCAGGGAUGGUGGUGAGGGUCGCUCGUGGGUCCCCUGGCAGGGAGCAGGGUCUGGCACUCACAAGGGCGCACGACUAGGACUUGUCGAAUGAAUCCCUUGUCGCCUUUAGCUUUUAGUCCUUUGAAGAGAGGUGAGAGUGGAAAUCAAGAGAUUUUUUUCCACGGGGAAGUUCUUUUUACAAAGCGUUGAUUUCUUGGCACCCCGCGGGGCGGGCAACUGACACGACCUCCGGUGCACCUUCUGCGCUGUGGAGCCUCUGGGGCUCAGCUGGGCGGUGGUCGGGUCGUGGGGCGGUAGGGCGGGAGCGGGGGAAGGGAAAGCAAAAGCUGGAAAAGAAGCAGGGGAGUUGUGAACCAGACAUCCAGACCUCCUGAAGGGCUCGUGCAGACGUACAGGCGGGAUCUUCUGGAAGUGAGAAUUGUUUUUGUUUGUUUAUCUAUUGUAGCAGAAUGGGGAAAUGGAGAGAGAACCUGAAAGAGCCCCAAACUCGAGGACCUAUUGCUCCCCAAGAAUAACAUCUUCCAGAACUAGACAGAAAACUAGGCGUCUGGGAACCCUGAAAUCCUUGGAGGAGUAGAUCAUCAUGACCCUCUGUGUUCCUUUUGGCAAAUGACUUGCUUCCAUUGUUUGUUUGUUCAAUUGUCUGUUUGUUAAAUAAAUAAAACCCUUUUUAUGUAUCUUUAAAAUUACAUUGGUUCUAUUAUUUUAUGAUUACAAACGAUGCUGCAGUCAUCAUUCUUGUACACUUCUCAUUGGCCACUGGUGUAUUUCUAUAGGGUGGAGGCCUGGAGAGCAGUUGUUCCAGCAUAGUGUUUACAUAGCUUUUAUUUAAUUCCGUUUUCUUUCCUUUGUUGCUUUAUUAGCUAUAACCCUUCUCUUAUUUCAGUGGCAGCUUUAGGGUUUCUGGGAUACAUCUUUAAUUUAUCACAUUCUGCUUUCAAGUGUAAUUAUACCUCCCUUUCUGGCCUUUAUCCUAGUGUUACGUAUUUUUACUUUAUGCAUUAUAAGUUUUGUGAUUAUCAUUACCUUCAUUUAUUAUGUCAAAUAUUUUUAAAAAGAUUUAAAUUAUAAGAAAAUGUGUAGUACAUGCUUUCUAAAUGCCAUUUCCAAUAUUUGUUUUUGUAUAGGUCCAGAUUUUUAUCUGGGAUCCUUUUGCUUCUGCCUGGAGGACUCUUAAGAUUUCUUGUAGCGUGGGUUGGUGAAUUCUUUUAGUUUUUGUAUGUUUUUCAAUGUCCUUAUUUCACUCACAGUUUUGAAAUUUUAUUUUUGCAUAGAAUUCUAGGUUAAUUUUUUUCUCUAGUACUUUAAAAAUGUUGCCAUUUAUGAAGCAUUGCCAUUUAAAGUAUCAUCUUUCAUGUGCUUGUGAAAAUGGCAUAAAGCCGGUUUCUUGUGCUGGUUAUGUAAUUUUCAGAAUGUGUAUUUAAAUUUAAAAUAUUAAAUUUUCCUAAAAAACUAAAAAUAUUAAUCAUGAAUGUCCUAGAUUCAUCUUAAAUUCCACCAACAGUGCACUUAAAAUGUGCCCAACCUGAGGGUCAAACCUACCUGCUGACAUGUAAUUUGUGUUUGUGAGACAUUCUCAACAGCAUUUGCUUUCCCCAGCUGAGUGAUCUUCCUCACAUCUGAAUGUCUUCAGUGCAAAAGGAAAUGUUUUUCUUCGCAAAAAUACUUUCAAAUACUCUUACUUCAAGGAAGUGCAUUAAAAACAAACUUCUCAUUUGCAUCCCUGGAAUUCAAAGCCCUAAUCAAGUGCUUCAGGAUCAAGAGCUAAACAGGGGAGGACAAAGCGUGGCUUCUUCACUAGGAGUCAAGCCAAAGUCAACUGGUUUGAUCGCCAACGUAGAUCGGAACUCGGUUCACCAGCGACCUGAGGACCCGGCCCAGAAGAGGGAGUGUCUCUUCAUGGUGCCUUCAGAUAGAAAAUCUCCUAGGAUUUCUUUCUUUCCCUUUGAUCUACUUCCAACUCUCCCUUUCUAUUUCUUCAAGACCUUUUUCGGAUCCCUACUGCGAAGGACCUAAGGGGCCGGUGCCCUUCCCCACUGGUCCCUCCCUGCCUGGUGUCUUAGGAGCCCAAGCUCACCUGGAACAUUACUGCCCGCCGGAGACAGCGAGAGGACCAAGGAGCGCGGCGGUGCGGUGGGAACCACAGCGUCACCGCUCACCUGCGCCUCGUGGGCUCCUAGAAAAUUGAAUAAAUGCCCCCUGAAGCUUCUCUGCAGGUCACACGGAAGAGGAGGGUGGCUGCCGACACGCGGGAGAAGCUUCAAGAAGCGUCGGGAGGACCUACCUGGUCCUGCCCCUGGGCCUUGAAGACAGGCCUGGCCAGGCUGAUUUGGUCCGGUAGUCUCAAAGAAAAUGUUCAAGGGUGGCCCAAACCUCCACCCCAAGAUUAAGGCUCUUAAAUGUCUGACGGUUUUGAGACUCGUCAGUAGAAUCAAUCCCGCCUGUAUCAGGAGACUCCUUUGCCAAAAUUCAAAGACCAAGAAAGAGAAAGAUUGGGCAGGUUAAAGUCUGUAAUUAACCAAACAGGAGACAGAAUUUUUCUGAGAAAUUGUAUGUGUGCUGUGAGAAAAAGACUAGCCUCAAGGAGAAUCUGUUCUUUUGGCUUAAUUGUAGGAAAGAAUGGAAUUGCCACCAACAAUGGUACGUUGAAACGGCAGGUGCAUCAGGCUGUAGAUGUGAAGGAAUUAAAAAUAUUUUACCCCAAAAUACAUUUCUUUGACAUAUUUUGAGAUGUCUGUUCAGAAAGCCAGCUGCAGAAGUAGCCCUGCAAAGUUGUCUUUCGUUGGGGAGAUUUGCAUCUGUAGGGAAUCUGCAUUGAUGCAGCCAAGUCUUUCCUUGCCCAGAUCUAGGAAAGAUUAACUGAGAGUCUGACAGCUGUAAAGGUCUGAAAGAAACUUUCAGAGCUUAUUCUUUCUGAGAGCUGCUGCCUGUAAGGUUUCAUUUACAUAUUAAGAUCACCUUUGCUAGCCAGGCCUCCUCUUCUCUCCCUCCCAUAACCUGUCUUGCCCACAAUAAAUGGAUAUACCUCUGACUCUAA